UAUAUGCAAGAACUAUAUUCAGUAAAUUUGUUAGAUCACCAUCUCCAAUAAAAGAUCAUUCAAUUUUCUACUUGCUUAUUUUUUUUUCUGGUUCAUUCUGAAUUCUUAGGUGUGCAAUGAUGGAAAAUUGAGCCUGGUCUAUAUGAACAAAAAAUCUCAGGUUGUGACCAAGUUGAAGAGUAAACGUGCUGGUGGAGCUUUUUCUAAGAACAAUAAACGUAAGCUCUCUCCUUACAGUAUUAUGGUAGUUCACAACCGGAGUUGUUUGUAAACUAUGUGACGGAAGUGAGGCAUGACUCUUCAAUAAAGAGUUGAAACCUAGAUUUGUACCUUGGGAUAAAGACUUCUCAGGAUAUUCUGGAGUUCAAGUGCAAAUACAAAAGCGAUAAACAAAAAAGGGUGGAGAUAGAAUUCAGGAACUUGUUGAUUGAGCCAAGUGAGGGCUCACUGAGAGUGUUGGACAUAAUAAGAACUUUUAUUAGACUGACUUAUUAAGUUUUGUUUUUUCAUUUUUAUGUUAUUAGGUGUAUAAAAAUGUUUAUGAGUUAUGACUGUACUUGGUUUUUUCUGUUGA